UUCAGUUCUACCUCUCUCUCUUUGCAUUCAUCUCUCACCUUCUUUUUCUCUUACCUUUCUCUUGCUCCAUGUUGCCGCCUCUGAAGAAUAACCCUGCGGCGGAGAAAAAGCUUGCUCGAUGGCUUUCUCCGUCUCCCACCGUUCCGCUUUGCGCCGUUCAACGGAACGUUUCGACAAGAAGAGAAGAAGCCAAAGGUCGGUAAGAAGCUUACGAAGGAGGGCGGCACCGCCGACAAGAAGAAGAGGUGCACCCUGAAGAAGCUUACUCGCUGGCUUUCUCCGUCUCCAACCGUUCCGCUUUGCACCAUGAAGAACCCUAGUAGCAGUGCGGUGAUGGAGUUUGGUUCACAGUAUUACACCAUAUUAACUAAUAUAUUCCAGAAUAAUCCGGUGUUUGGUAUUCUAUUUGCGUAUUCUGCAAGGCCCGACCAUAUGCUAGGGCCCUGACCAAAAACCACUGUUCAAUCAGUGUUACACAUCCCCUCCCCCCCGCCCCCCUUCGAUUACUCCGCUAACCAGAAGCAGGAAAAAUAAUUUAUCUUUUCUACCCUUCACAUUUUGGAAUUAAAAUAUCACCAAAUAAAAAAUAACCGCUACUUCGCUUCUUUUUCCUUCUACUACGAAUCUGGUGAGCUCCAUCCAAAAAAAUUGAAAGCUUAAGCCAUAGACGGGGAAAUAGAAAGAGCAACAACAACGAAUUUCAAGCAACAAAGGGCAUUUAAUCGACCCAGGCAAGUGUUGUAAUGUUUGUUAUUUAUAGAGUCUCUGUUGGAUUCAUUUGAUAUACAGGCGGUGGAUUUCACUAUGCUUGAUUAAUUGUCUGUUAGUAUGUGUUGCUUAUCUGUUCUUGAAUCAAAUAUUCCGGCUGAAUUAAUUGGAUAAAAUCUGUUUUGUGAGUUAGGCAGUUUUGAUUUUGUUCCAAGAACACACAUGUUUUUAUAUUAGUUCUCGCAGAUUGUCUGAUAGCGCAGAUGUUUAUUUUGGCUCGAGAAUAUGUUUUUCUAUAUUUGCUGUUGUGCUACAUUACUUGUAAUCAAUAGAGAUUCAUCACACUUUGCAGAUUCAUCUCAUAAUUGCCAAAUUGUGGCUUGAAUGGCUGGAAGAGAAAGCCCUCGUGCGUGUGGCAUGUAUUUC